rnacentral:tRNA from 1 species
GGUCCGGUGGCGCAGUGGUUAGCGUGAUAGCCUAUCACCCCAGUAUGGCCUGGGUUCAAUCCCAGACGGACCC